rnacentral:lncRNA from 1 species
GGAGCGAGGGGGCGUCUUGCGGAAGGGAAGAGACGACGGGGGUGUGUGAAGGGGGGGCUGCACGUGGAGGAGGGGCCAUGUCCUAUCUCUCUGCUCAUGCCAUCCCAGAAUGCCUUGCUCCCCCACACCUCCCCUCCCACUUUGUACAUAUCCAGGUGUGGUGAGUUCAUGCGGAUUCCUGUGCUUUCAAAUCUCUCUUGUUGGCGUCCGGCGGAGCUUGAUUAUGGCGUCCAUCAAAGGGAUCGUUACUGUGGACGUCUUCAUUGAUUACUCAGAAAGCGUCUUCUCAUAAAGGCGCGCAACCCUCAAGGGCUGGGCGAAGCACGACAGUCGGUCCUUGGCGUUACAGAUACCUCGGGGAUGGCGGAUGUUCAGAACCCUAAACAAAACGUUCUGGUUCUUUCUGAAGUUUACAACUGAACAUUGACUAACGCAGCUUUGAAACUUCCUGUGCAGAAGGAAAAUGUGGCUUUCCCUUGAUUUUUUUUUACUAGUUUACGCUUAACACAGCGCUGUUCUGUGCAGUAUUUGUUUUUGGUCUCAGCUGUGGNUUACUAGUUUACGCUUAACACAGCGCUGUUCUGUGCAGUACUUGAUUGUGUACUGCUGGUUCCAAACAGGGGUGUGGUUGACUGGUCAGUUUGUAACUCGGGGGUUCGUAACUCAGAGGUUCUACUGCAUCAUGGGAUCUUUCAAAUAGGAAGCCCCAAGACUAGGUGGAACGAGUGGUUACGUGGCUGGAUUAUCUGAAUCUGGAUUAUCUAUUUGGGACAGAGGUCAUCUGAAAAAUAUAUUUAUCUUCCGACCCCCUGUAUUAGCUAUUCUGAGCAUCGGGCUGUGGAAUCAGCACCACGGGGUUAGGAGGGUUGUCUAGUCUCACCCCCAGAACUCAAGACCAAAUGCGAAUCAUUUAUAACCCAGUGGAGACCAGCUUUAAGCCCGUAACUGAAGGCACUGAGGGCUGACUGCGAUCCCUGCAGUACGGGGUGUGUGAUAUGCGUGACACUGCCACGCUGCUUAACCGCACGCAAGCAAAAUCAAAUGAAUAAUUAAUAAUUGCUAAUACUUCAUUGCAACAGGUAAUAAAAAGGUAAACAAUGAUUUCUGCUGCA